CACCAGUCGCCACUACCGGGAACAUCGACGCCCACAAGGGGACACUUACAUUUAUGGCCACCGGAUUAGGCAUCGGAUCAACUGUGGUGAUCUUGACCUUUACUGUGCUCGCCAUCUUUUUAUUAUGGCGAAGGAAAACAACUCUGAUCCCACCACCGUCAGAACUGGAAAUACAACCAAUGAAUGGCGAAUUGGCAACGGUGCCUUAGUACCCGGGGACU